GACGAACGCUGGCGGCGUGCUUAACACAUGCAAGUCGAACGAACAGACCCUGCUUUUGUGGCGUGCUCGAUUGCCGAACGGGUGAGUGACACAUGAGUAAAAUGCACUUGACUGUGGGAUAAAUUCAGGGGACAGGGGCGAAUACCGGGUAGGAGCUCCUGCAGCAUGGUGGUGGUUGGAGAGAUUCGGCGGUUGGGGAUGGACUCGCGGCUUAUCAGCUUGUUGGUGGGGUAGGGGCGUACAAGGUGUAUGACGGGUAGGCUGCCUGAGAGCGUGACCGGCCACAUUGCGCCUGAGAUACGCCGCAGACGGCUAUGGGACGCAGCAGGGGGGAACAUUGCACAAUGGGCGGAAGCCAGAUGCAGCAACGCUGGGAGCGGGAUGACGGGUUUCGGGUGGUAAACCGCUUUCGCCGGUGACGAAGCGUGCGUGACGGUAACGGGUAAAGAAGCACCGGCUAACUACGUG
rnacentral:rRNA from 1 species